rnacentral:rRNA from 1 species
GAUGAACGCUGGCGGCGUGCCUAAUACAUGCAAGUCGAGCGAACAGACGAGGAGCUUGCUCCUCUGACGUUAGCGGCGGACGGGUGAGUAACACGUGGAUAACCUACCUAUAAGACUGGGAUAACUUCGGGAAACCGGAGCUAAUACCGGAUAAUAUAUUGAACCGCAUGGUUCAAUAGUGAAAGACGGUUUUGCUGUCACUUAUAGAUGGAUCCGCGCCGCAUUAGCUAGUUGGUAAGGUAACGGCUUACCAAGGCAACGAUGCGUAGCCGACCUGAGAGGGUGAUCGGCCACACUGGGACUGAGACACGGCCCAAACUCCUACGGGAGGCAGCAGUAGGGAAUCUUCGGCAAUGGACGAAAGUCUGACCGAGCAACGCCGCGUGAGUGAAGAAGGGUUUCGGAUCGUAAAACUCUGUUGGUAGAGAAGAACGUUGGUGAGAGUGGAAAGCUCAUCAAGUGACGGUAACUACCCAGAAAGGGACGGCUAACUACGUG